GGUGAGAUGGCCGAGCGGUUAAGGCGCUACGUUAAGGUUCUUCUUAAUUGAUUCCGUAGUCCGAAAGGGCGUGGGUUCGAAUCCCACUCUCAUCA
rfam:Tilletia walkeri strain DAOM 236422 scaffold_82, whole genome shotgun sequence.